UACGUAGGUGACAAGCGUUGUCCGGAUUUACUGGGCGUAAAGAGCGCGCAGGCGGUCGUUCAAGUCGAGUGUGAAAGCCCCCGGCUCAACUGGGGAGGGUCAUUCGAUACUGAUCGACUCGAAGGCAGGAGAGGAUAGUGGAAUUCCCGGUGUAGUGGUGAAAUGCGUAGAUAUCGGGAGGAACACCAGUGGCGAAGGCGACUACCUGGCCUGUUCUUGACGCUGAGGCGCGAAAGCUAGGGGAGCAAACGGG
rnacentral:rRNA from 1 species